CGUAGGGGGCUAGCGUUGUCCGGAUUUAUUGGGCGUAAAGAGCUCGUAGGCGGUUCGGUAAGUCACGUGUGAAAUCUCCACGCUUAACGUGGAGGGGUCACGUGAUACUGCUGUGACUAGAGUCCGGUAGGGGAGUGUGGAAUUCCCGGUGUAGCGGUGAAAUGCGCAGAGAUCGGGAGGAACACCCGUAGCGAAGGCGGCACUCUGGGCCGGUACUGACGCUGAGGAGCGAAAGCGUGGGGAGCAAACAGGAUUAGAUACCCUGGUAGUCCACGCCGUAAACGUUGGGCACUAGGUGUGGGGCUCUAUCGACGGGCUCCGUGCCGCAGCUAACGCAUUAAGUGCCCCGCCUGGGGAGUACGGCCGCAAGGCUA
rnacentral:rRNA from 1 species